UUUAUGCUAAGUUGAGCAUGGUUAAGACAAUAAACUAUAAGCAUAAUAAAGCAACCAUCCAAUACUCAAAUAGCAUCGCCUCGCUGAAUCACUCAAGCUACUGCUGAAAUAUUAAUAAUAAAAAUUUCAAAAGAUUCGUGCAUGGCCAUUUAAACAUAAAAUAGUAGCUCAUUACGAACGCUUUGAAGUUUGUCGAGUUUCCAGACCAUGCAUGCCUCAAUUCACUGAUGCAUAAUUCUGCGUUCACAAAGAUCUCUGAUUUUAUUGGAAGUUUGCACGCACCAAUUUUUCAGUGAUCAAUCCUUGCAGUGAUUUGCUCCACGAAACCAUUUCAAAGAAUUUCCAUUUCCGGGCGAGAUUUUCACUUUUCUUAGAGUAUUUAAACGCCUCUCGCAAAAAGCGCAUUCUUUCUUUAGGUUGGUUUUCCGAACGUCGGAAACGAUAAAUCGAUUUGACCAGGUUGAGCUGGACGUCGCGAUAAUGUGUGGGUUUGCGCUCUGAUUUCUCAAUGGCGAUUAUACUAGAGUUGGCCUGCUUCAGACGGCUGUCGUUAACAUGUUUAUCGACCAACUCUCCAGAAAGGUGACAGCCAAGGUAAAACGUCGCAAGAUUUAUAUGAGCCUUGUAUUCCAGAUCUGCGCGUUCCUCGGGACAAUCCGACAUAACUUGUUGGAGGUGUUGCAAAGCGUUGUGUAAGAGCACAUCCGGAGCACUCGAAUGUACAUCAAAAAGGUGCAUUAUCGCCCCUGCAAAUAAAUAUACUAGCGCUGUAACUAAACCUGGUGAAAGCAGUUCUGCCUUAUCCAAUGCACCUACCAAUAAAACGCGGAUAGGGUCAAAAUCUCCGUUAGGUCGAGUAACCUCAACACGUUCACAUAGCCCUAGCACUUCAAACAUACGAUGUUCCGUUGCAUUUGGUAGGAGUUUGUCGUACUCGUCCAGCAAUUUAUCUGCUGUCUUAAAAUGCUGUUUUCGGGAAUGCGCUAUAAUUUCCUUCAACAACACAACCAAUUGAAGCUCGACAAUAUCUGGAAACAUUUGUUUAAUUGUGUCCGACUUAUCCUGAAAUCCUUUCAAAUCCCCGCCAUUGUUUAAACAAUUCGCUAGAAUACAAAAUGCUCGAGUACAAAGUUUUUGAGUCUCUUUUGAAAUCCAUGUAAUGCUUCUGCCCAUUGCGUAGGGGACGAACCCAACCUCGACAGGUCCCAAAAUUCUUUCCUUCCAAGUAGCAAUCGACAUCUUCUUAACUUCCCCCUCCACCAUUUCAUAACAUUCUGGUUCCUCGGUGAACACACCACCAAGACAAGGAGCGAUAUAGAUCACGAUCACAAAGGUUGAUGGAAUAGGCUUGGAGUUUUCAUCUAGCACUGGCUCGAACAAAAUAUUCCAGUGUUUUCCUCGUUUGGGUUGACCGAUAUGCUCAGGCCAUAUCAUCUUCUUAAUGGCUUUCUCGACUUUCUUUAUUAUUUCAAUGAUGUCUUCAUUCGGGAUCUUCUCUCCCGCAACAACGCCAUCGUCUGUGAUACCAUAAUAAAUGUGACCUCCGUUAUGGUUGGCAAACGCAGAGACGUAAACAAUUAAUUUGUUAUUUAUCAUACGCUGUACCAACUUGGUGCAAUUUUUAGCACCAGCUUCCAAUAACUUAAGUUGAAUUUGCUUGUCUUCCGUAAGAUUACAAAACGUGUGUCUUACAAACGUUUUGUGAUGUGAACCGAGCUGGACUGGUUGAUAAACGUGCCGCCUGGUCAAAAUAUUGUCCUUGAUAUUUUCUGUGGAUGGAACUGAAAGUACUUGUGUUGUACUUGG